rnacentral:rRNA from 1 species
GACGAACGCUGGCGGCGUGCUUAACACAUGCAAGUCGAACGGAAAGGCCCUGCUUUUGUGGGGUGCUCGAGUGGCGAAAGGGUGAGUAACACGUGAGUAACCUGCCCUUGACUUUGGGAUAACUUCAGGAAACUGGGGAUAAUACCGGAUAGGAGCUAAUGCUGCAUGGUGGGGGUUGGAAAGUUUCGGCGGUGGGGGAUGGACUCGCGGCUUAUCAGCUUGUUGGUGGGGUAGUGGCUUACCAAGGCUUUGACGGGUAGCCGGCCUGAGAGGGUGACCGGCCACAUUGGGACUGAGAUACGGCCCAGACUCCUACGGGAGGCAGCAGUGGGGAAUAUUGCGCAAUGGGCGGAAGCCUGAUGCAGCAACGCCGCGUGCGGGAUGACGGCCUUCGGGUUGUAAACCGCUUUCGCCUGUGACGAAGCGUGAGUGACGGUAAUGGGUAAAGAAGCACCGGCUAACUACGUG